rnacentral:rRNA from 1 species
UACGGGGGGAGCAAGCGUUGUUCGGAUUUACUGGGCGUAAAGGGCGCGUAGGCGGCGCAACAAGUCACUUGUGAAAUCUCCGGGCUUAACCCGGAGCGGUCAAGUGAUACUGUCGUGCUAGAGUGCGGAAGGGGCUACUGGAAUUCUCGGUGUAGCGGUGAAAUGCGUAGAUAUCAGGAGGAACACCGGUGGCGAAGGCGGCUAUCUGGACAGAAACUGACGCUGGAGGCGCGAAAGCCGUGGGGAGCAAACAGG